CCAUGACCCAUACAUGUACCUUGGGUGAGAUGCAAUGCGCUUUCAAAUUCCUGACACUCCUUUGGCGUGUUGGGCAGGAAAGUCCUCUGAUAGAUAUUUAUUUAUUUAUUUAUUUAUUUAUUUAUUUAUUUAUUUUCCAGCCAAGUCUUUAAAAGAACAAUAUAAAAAGUUUUCAGAAAUAAUGAUGCCAGCUGCGCAGAAGACAGGAACAUGAUUUACAUGCUUUAGUCCUAGUGCUUUUGAUGCUGCUGUUGAAUUUUAAUUCUGAAAAUAUCUCCACGUUUUUAAGGUAGCAGUAGGUGGUGGCCAACUGCUCGGCUUCUAAUUGACCUGCUGAAGGAAUUCAGAACGACUCUUUCCUCUGAUUUCUUGCUUGAAGGUACA
ensembl:lncRNA